GUUCUGAGGUUUUGGGAUACCAUGUUCUAUAUAAUUCUUUUAAGUCUAUUUGUUUCUAUACCAAACAUUUUAUAGUUGUCGCACCUGCUUUGAAGGCUCUUUUCCUAUACCUUUGCAUGGACACUGCUUCAUUUCACUCAGACCUAUGCUUACAGAUGGUCUCCUCAGCCAGAUCUUCCCUCACUACCCUGUGUUAUUUUUCUUGAAGCCUGAGAGUACAUUAUGUCUGUUUGCUUAUUAUCAAUCUCCCUAACUGUAAUAGAAACUCCUUGAGGCAAACACAUCUCCCCUCUUAUUUACUGUGCUACUGUGCUAUCCCCAACACCCCAACACUUGAAAAGUAUUGCAUACUUUUCAAUAAAUGUGUUUUGAAUGAUUAAGUGAAUGAAUUAAAAUUAAUACCCAACAGAGAACUCACUAUGUAUGUAUGUAUGUAUGUAUGUAUGUAUGUGCAUGUAAAUAUCCAUAGUAUAAAAGCUUAACCCCACUUUUUUCCUUCAGUAGAUUUGGCAUUGCUCACAUAGGCACAGGUUAAAUAUGGAGGAGGAAAUGGAGAAUAAGAAGAUUCUGUUAUAGAGAUCAUCUAAAGCAGAAGCACCUGAAUUCUUUUGCCCAUUUACCUGCUACAUCCCAAGAGAGAAGGAAUUACUAAUAUCAUUAGUCAGAUGACACUCCAAGAGCCUGCCAGCAGGUCAUAUGCUUUCUGCUGCCAUAGCCUACCUGGGGCACCCUGGUCUGCUAGGAUUUGUCAGGUCGUGAAUCAGAGUGAAGCUGGAACCGGAAAGAUUAGACAGACACACACAGAAUCUGAAGCAGGCUCCAGGAUCUGAGCUGUCAGCACAGAGCCUGACGCAGGGCUCAAACUCACAAACUGCAGGAUCGUGACCUGAGCCAUCCAGGGUGCUUGGAACAGAGGAGGUGCUCAGUAAAUGGGGUCACUGGACCUGUGUUUGGAUGUGUGGAACCAGAUGCAUGUAUAAGGUAAAAAGUGAGCAUGAUGGAGUAAUGAUGUAAACACUUGGUAAUGUAGCUCUCCUAAAUGGGUGCUCCCAGGUCCUUUGGAGGUGUGGUAGACUUGAAGACAGGUGAAUGAAGGUUCAUUUCCACUCUAUUCCCAGGGAGCUCUCUGAAUUUAUCAGGACACCAGCUCCCUAAGAGACUACUAAACAAGUCAUUUCUUGUGGUUUCCAUGCCCAUAAAGCCCAAGAUUAAAAAGUCCCAUCCACAGACAUAAAAAUACAAUGCAAGAGCUACAGUAAAGCAGUUUCAAAGGAAAAUGAAUAAGCAAGAUCAACAAAAGAAAAAAUAAAGCACAAGGAAAUCAAACAUUUUAAUAGGCCCAUUUUGCAAAGCAUAAAGCUAAAACCGGGGGAUGACAGGCUUAUUUUCAUAAGCAUUAAACUCACUUCCAAACAACUUAAUGUAAGGAAUAGCCAGCCCAGCAGUGAGAACGGAAAGAAGACAUCAUUUAUCAGAAGGCCUCAUACUAUCAUUUCCAUUUGUUCAGAACAGAGGUCCACCUAUCUCUGACCGCUGGAAGCAAGCCUAUGUGCCUUGCUUUUCUGGAUGAUGUUACCACAAAAAUAAGCAAGUUCAUGCAGGUGAUCAUUUCAGGCAAAGAGUAGUUUUAAUCAGCAAGUCUGUGUAAGUGUGGAAUGAGAGCUCAUUAAAUCUCUCACCCAACCAGCCUGAAAGGCACUGCAGGCUCUCGGUGGGAGCACCAACAUUGGUUUCUCUGCCCUACUCCCCCCGUGCUCUGCAGUCUCUUCUCAACUGCACACCUCACUUCUCACUAAUGGCAUGAUCAAUUCAAAACAGGUUUGCCUGCCACUCAGCAUCAUCAUUAGCUGUAGCAUGGAUUAGAAUGAGAGAAGCCUUUUCAGAAACUACAGGAGACCAGCAAGUCAACACCUGGGGGAAAGAGGUGGGGCGGAAGAGAAGAGUGAAGGGAGGAAAAGAACAGUUACAAUUCCUGCCGCACUGUAUUAGUCUCACCUUGCAGGAACAGACAGAGCACCUGUCUUCUUUCAAGGUCCACACUUGUCCAUUGCGCUUCAGUCCUCCUUCAUGAGGGCAGUCACCAGAGCAGGAGGGCCCAGAGGGACAGAGGCAGUCAAAGCCCCCUGCCAGGUUGAUGCAGGCAGAAUCAUUCCAACAGGUAUGGGUUCUUAAGGCACAUUCAUCAAUGUCUGCAAUAAAGAAGGCACAGAGCUUUACAAUUUAGCCAAGACUGUGAUUAGAAAAUAGUCAUUUACAAUAGCAUUAAUAUUACUGAGCAUUUACUUUGUGCCAAGCUGUUCACAUGCAUUAUCUCAUUUACUCUGCAAAGCAGCUCUGUGUAGGAAAAUCUGUUCCUAUAUUUUGCAAAUAAUGAAGCUGAGGCUCAUAGAAAUGAAAUAGCAUGCCUACGGUCAUAUAGCUAAUAGGUGGCAGGUCUCAUACUCAAACCUGCAGCUGUUGGACUCCAAUUACUAAAUUAUCCAGUAGCAGCUCUAACCCAGUUUUAGGAUAUUCUCGAGAGCUGUACCAUCUAGAGGCCAUAAAUAGUCCUAAUUCAUUAACAGUGGGGAUACACCCUAUACAGAUCUGGGUCUUUUAGAAAAGGUGUGAAUAGAUCAUCCACUGAGUAGGAAUAAGUGGGCAAUUAGGGCAACCUUGAACCAAUCAGACUCCCCCAGAUCCUGGGGCCAAGGGUGAAAGAAGAGGGACUAAUUCUUGGUAGUUGCCUUGCCUAAUCAAAUCCUCUCCAUCCUAAUGGUCAGAAGCAUUUUUGUCCCCAGAAAAAAACAUCUUAGAGCUAUGGUACAUAUAGCAUGGAUGAGGAUGGAAGACACACAUAUAUUUUACGGUUUUUUAAUGACAGCUAAAUAUGGAGGGAAAGCAAAAAUCCAGUCAGCUUUCCCAGACAUUCAAAGCUUGAGUGACCUUAACAUCUCAAACACAUAGCUGUCCAGUCCUGGAUUGAGCCUCUUCCCAGUGGGCAAUCUAUUACUUCAAAAGGCAGCCAAUUCCAUCGGAUAACUCUUUUAGAAAUGUCUUCCUUAAAUGAAAUGAAAUAUAUUUUCCUAGAACUCCUACUUAUUGGUGCUAGUUGUGAGACCACUCAAGAAAAGUCAACUUGAGUUUUCUUAUUUGUGACAAUCUUUACAUGAUUUAAAGAUAUUGGUCAUUUGUUUAUCAUAGUCUUGUACUCCACUGGUCAAUCUAGUGCUAUGUCCUUCAAAUAUCCUUCAGAUGAUCCUUCUGUGCACAAGGUUUUUUUGAACACUAGGUAUUAUAAAUGUUAACAAUGACAUUUAAGACAUUGUCCUUAUGUAGGUAACAAGGAGAAACACUAGAAGGACAUAUAGAUAACUAUUGUUAGGCAUCUGAUCAGGAAGUUUAAUCCCUAUAGUAAGUUAAAAUAACAUUAUAAAUUGGGGUGCUUGGGUGGCUCAGUUGGUUAAGCGUCCGACUUAGGCUCAGGUCAUGAUCUCAUGGUUUGUGAGUUCAAGUCCCGUAUUGGGGUUUCUGCUGUCAGUUCAGAGCCCACUUCAAAUCCUCUGUUCCCUAAUCUCUGCCCCUACCCCCGACUCUCUCUUUCAAAAAUAAACAAACGUAAAAAAAAAAAAAACAGUAUGAAUUAACUUACUCUACUUCCUAAAUUUCAUGUUAAAUAUGUAUGGGUUGUGGGCAUUUGGUUAAGGGUUAUGAGCUAAAUUAAAGAAAAAAUAAUUCUAAGUGGCAUUUUCUCCUAAAGUACUCAAGCAAUAGUGCUUAAAGGCAUAAUAUAUAUUUACUGUUAGUGCUUUAUACUUAUAUAGUGUGUCAAAGGUUUUUGAAGCUUUUCCAGGAGUUAUGCCAUAUAAUUGCAAGACGGAAAUAGUUACUUUCGUUUUACAAAAUAAGAAACUAAGGCACAGAGAUGAAUAAGUGGUCACACAUCUAGUACCACGUUGAAGCAAAGGUGGUAUCCUGGGCCUUCUAACACAUGCUCUAGAGUUCUUUUCUGAACCAACUCAAGGUCUAAAGUCAUCUUUCAGAAUACUAGAAUGUUCUGUGGUUUUAUCUACUUUCAACUAUUAACCCUCUAGAUAUUGCAACCCACUUCCAAGCAUAAGAUCUUAUAUGGAUCCUCUUUAGUAUCCUUAGUUGAAAUUCUGAGAAUUACAUAAUUACUCAAAGUUUUCUAUAAUUUUGCAACUACUGUGACUUAAAAAUAAUGAGAAAUAAAUGACCUAUCUUCUAUUACUGACUGCAUGCACUGUUGGAAAAUUUGGCCUCACAGUAAAGUUACAAAGUAGAAAAUGUUACGGAGUUCAAAUACUUUAUUCCAAGAUUUUUGUCUUUGUCUCAUUAAAUGUAGUCUCAGUCAAGACAUUUAGUUAAUUAACAACGAUUCCUCUUUUUGUUGUUGUUGUUAAGUUUAUUUAUUUAUUUUGAGACAGACAAGCACACAAGCAGGGGAGGGGCAGAGAGAGAGGGGGUUGGAGGAUGUGAAGCGGGCUCUGCGUUGACAGCAGAGAGUUCGAUGAGGGGUUGGAAUUCACAAACCAUGAGAUCAUGACCUGAGCCAGUCAGACACUUAACCAACUGAGCCACGCAGGCACCCCAUGAUUCCUCCUUUAAAAACUGUGGAAAGGAACCCAAAUUGCAAUACCCAGAUUCCCAGUCAACUACAAUCUGACCUCAGUUAUGUCUUUACUGUUCCAUUGUGUCCAUGCUAUUCUCCACACAUUUGACCAUAUGGUGCUCCUACCUGGAAACCUUUCUUGUCUCCCAAGUCGUCUUCUUCUAACUCUUCUCAAUUAAGAGUGGCAUUGGAUGUGGGAGUCAGGCAACCCAUGUUUGAAAACAAGUUCUCAAUUUAAUUGAGUGCUUACUACAUAAAAGGCAUUUUACAUAUCACUGUAUGUCCUUGGUCACAUUAUUUAGCCCCUCUGACACUUAUUUAUCCCCUGUUUAAAACCAUACCCAAUGAAUUUCUGGUCU